rnacentral:rRNA from 1 species
AUUGAACGCUGGCGGCAUGCCUUACACAUGCAGGUCGAACGGCAGCAUAGGAGCUUGCUCCUGAUGGCGAGUGGCGAACGGGUGAGUAAUAUAUCGGAACGUGCCCUAGAGUGGGGGAUAACUAGUCGAAAGACUAGCUAAUACCGCAUACGAUCUACGGAUGAAAGUGGGGGAUCGCAAGACCUCAUGCUCCUGGAGCGGCCGAUAUCUGAUUAGCUAGUUGGUGGGGUAAAAGCCUACCUAGGCGACGAUCAGUAGCUGGUCUGAGAGGACGACCAGCCACACUGGGACUGAGACACGGCCCAGACUCCUACGGGAGGCAGCAGUGGGGAAUUUUGGACAAUGGGGGCAACCCUGAUCCAGCAAUGCCGCGUGAGUGAAGAAGGCCUUCGGGUUGUAAAGCUCUUUUGUCAGGGAAGAAACGGUAGUAGCUAAUAUCUACUACUAAUGACGGUACCUGAAGAAUAAGCACCGGCUAACUACGUGCCAGCCGCCGCCGUAACAC